CAGUCGCCGCGGUAAUACAGAGGGUGCGAGCGUUAAUCGGAUUUACUGGGCGUAAAGCGUGCGUAGGCGGCUUUUUAAGUCGGAUGUGAAAUCCCUGAGCUUAACUUAGGAAUUGCAUUCGAUACUGGGAAGCUAGAGUAUGGGAGAGGAUGGUAGAAUUCCAGGUGUAGCGGUGAAAUGCGUUGAGAUCUGGAGGAAUACCGAUGGCGAAGGCAGCCAUCUGGCCUAAUACUGACGCUGAGGUACGAAAGCAUGGGGAGCAAACAGGAUUAGAUACCCCGGUAGUCCCUGUCUCUUAUAC
rnacentral:rRNA from 1 species